UACGGAGGGGACUAGCGUUGUUCGGAAUUACUGGGCGUAAAGCGCACGUAGGCGGAUUUGUAAGUCAGGGGUGAAAUCCCGGGGCUCAACCUCGGAACUGCCUUUGAUACUGCAAAUCUCGAGUCCGGAAGAGGUGAGUGGAAUUCCUAGUGUAGAGGUGAAAUUCGUAGAUAUUCGGAGGAACACCAGUGGCGAAGGCGGCUCACUGGUCUGGUACUGACGCUGAGGUGCGAAAGCGUGGGGAGCAAACAGGG
rnacentral:rRNA from 1 species